CUGUGAAGGGGGGCUGGGAGUUAAUGCUUCUGUCCCCAUGCACAGUCCUCAUCAGAGAAAUGUUGUCCGUUGGAUUAAAUCACCUGGAGCCACACUUCCUGUCAGGAUACCCCAGUACAGGAGAGCUGAAGUUUGACUUAUUUUCAACUGAAAAGAUUCACUCAGGUACAAAGGUGGAAAGAAAAAGCAACUUCCCACAUCACCGAGUCCACCCCCCCUGCUAAGGCAGGCUCCCUACAAUAGAUCACACAGGUUGUUGAUGAAGAUGUUGAACAAGACCGGACCCAUCACUGACCCCUGGGGAACACCGUGAGUUACAGGCCUCUAACCAGACUCGGCACUGCUGAUUACAACCUUCUGAGCUCUGCCAGGACAGAGCUGUUUUGCCUGUGCCCCUGUCCCACUCAGGACUCUCAGCACUGCACUGAGGCCACCACUGGUGUUUCAUUCCCAAAAGGGACACGGCACCGGGAUGGGGGGCUGCCCACAGGCACACACUGGAGAGCUGGUGUUAGU
ensembl:lncRNA